AGGACGAACGCUGGCGGCGUGCUUCAUACAUGCAAGUCGAACGAGAAACUGACUUCGGUCAGUAGAAAGUGGCGGACGGGUGAGUAAUGUGUAGAGAAUCUGCCCUAGAGUGGGGGACAACAGUUGGAAACGACUGCUAAUACCGCAUAUGCGCGUACCUGAAAUGGUAUUCGUGAAAACUCCGGUGCUCUGGGAUGAGUCUGCAUCUGAUUAGCUAGUUGGGGGUGUAAUGGACCACCAAGGCGACGAUCAGUAGCUGGUUUGAGAGGAUGAUCAGCCACAAUGGGACUGAGACACGGCCCAUACUCCUACGGGAGGCAGCAGUAGGGAAUUUUGCGCAAUGGGGGAAACCCUGACGCCAGCAACGCCGCGUGAUUGAAUAAGCCCUUCGGGGUGUAAAGAUCUGUCAGUGGGGACGAAACUUGACGGUACCCACAGAGGAAGCAUCGGCUAACUCCGUGCCAGCCGCCGC
rnacentral:rRNA from 1 species